rnacentral:lncRNA from 1 species
AAGAAUAAAAAAAAUUGUAAGGAGAAUAUGAGGAUUGAACUCUACAACAAUUAACUGACUUUCAACUUUUUUGUACAUUUUUUAAUUUUUUUUCUUUUUUUAAGAGGUAGGAAGAAAAAUAUAAUACUUUUUAUUUAUUUAUUUUUAAUAACCUUUUUCCCUCUGUUUUUUUUUUCUCUGUCAACCUUUGAAAUAUAGUCUACAUACUUAAUCAACUCCACACAAACUCCAAAACAAAAUUUCUCCAUCCCCUAAAAUAGGAUUAUAAUAUUAUUCUUCGCUUCGGACUUGUAAUAAACUAUAAUAAAAAUUGGAUAAACAAGCUCAAGAGGCUUAAAAAAUAUUAGUAAUUUUAAAAUUCACUAAUUUGGAUAG